AAAACGUCUCUUCCUUCUUUUUUUGGUUUUGGACCAGACACGGGAAGAAGAUUACAAUUUUGCGGAUUUGAAAGAAGGUUUCAAAGUAUUACUGAAUCGAAAAUUGAUUUAUCUCAAGGGAGAUAAUCAAUUAUCUACUGUCAUAGGAUUUAUGUAGGAAUUACUCGAAAUUUUCGAAUUGAAGUUUAACUUGUCGAAGAACUCUGACAUCUCCAAGGCCACACUCCAUCCCAGGCCUUCAUUUUCCAUUCGCCUGUUCGUUACUAACUGAUAAUACCCUUAAAAUCUUCCAACUUUGAGAAUAGCGGUUGGCGAAUCUCCAAUUCUUGGACACCUAAAUGACUCACCACUGUUGGUAGCGACAUUAAAGCAGAUGAUCGUAAGCCUCAUGUCUCAAAGAAGGUAAUAUUGUUCCUUUUUAUCGUUGAUUUCAGCCUGAAUGAGACACAUUGGCAUCACAGGAGUAACACUACCAAAACUGUCAGCGCUACUGCGUAACCCACUUCAUCUAGCUAAAAAGUACCUACUUUUACUUAAUAUUGAUUAUAUUACUAUAGUGUAUUGUAUUGAAAUUUCAAAACCUUUUCUCAGCUACCUUUGAACAAUUGUAAACCGAUGGUAUGCAUACUAGAGGGUAGAUAAUUUAUCAAUUGAAUUAGACAACGAAGAAAUCAUUGUGACAAAAUCCUUCGUUUUAAUAUAAUUUAUUUUUCCUUGUGAAUAAAUCAAACUUUGUAGAUUGGUCACGGAAGUUAGAACUGAAAUCUUCGUUACAAUUUUUCUUUACCUUCUAUUAUUGUUAAAAAAAAUAACUGUUUUUCUUUAUUUUUGAAUGACGCUCUCUUUUCCAUAACUUUCAUCAAUAAAAGAUUAGCAAAUUAAUUUA